GAAGCAUACGAGAGAGAAAUCAGCAAUGAUUCCUAUGUUUCUGGCUUCAACAACUGGGAAAAUGGAGCAACAUACCUUAAUAAAGACAGCCAAAGUCCAAAUACCUCUGUCAACAUUAAGUUGAUAUAAACACAGCAAAUGUGAUGGGAGUGACCAGAUCACAAGGAAGCCAGAUUUUGAGGACAGAUGUCUGGGAGGAAGGAGCAAGAAGACAAAGGGAGGAAAAGCAAAAAGAACAUGGAAUUAGCGGUGAGAUGGACGUGUCUCCGUGUUCUGGCCUCCCAAACCAACAACUAUCAUUCAAAAACCGUCUCAUCCUGGUGACCAGCUUGCCUUUUCCUCACCAUCUUCUUCCCAUGGUCAAGACAUGAGACAGGUCCAUCGAGGAUAAAGUGAAGAACUAAAGUAAGUGAAAGAAGAUGAGAUUUUAGGAGCAA